AGCGAACGCUGGCGGCAGGCCUAACACAUGCAAGUCGAGCGCCGUAGCAAUACGGAGCGGCAGACGGGAGAGUAACACGUGGGAACGUGCCCUUCAGUUCGGAACAACCCAGGGAAACUUGGGCUAAUACCGGAUACGUCCGUAAGGAGAAAGAUUUAUCGCUGAAGGAUCGGCCCGCGUCUGAUUAGCUAGUUGGUGGGGUAACGGCCCACCAAGGCGAUGAUCAGUAGCUGGUCUGAGAGGACGAUCAGCCUCACUGGGACUGAGACACGGCCCAGACUCCUACGGGAGGCAGCAGUGGGGAAUAUUGGACAAUGGGCGCAAGCCUGAUCCAGCCAUGCCACGUGGGUGAUGAAGGCCCUAGGGUUGUAAAGCCCUUUCGGCGGGGAAGAUAAUGACGGUACCCGCAGAAGAAGCCCCGGCUAACUUCGUGCCAGCAGCCGCAGUAACAC
rnacentral:rRNA from 1 species